ACGCGAUAAACCUUACCAACGUUUGACAUCCCUAGUGUGGUUACCAGAGAUGGUUUCCUUCAGUUCGGCUGGCUAGGUGACAGGUGCUGCAUGGCUGUCGUCAGCUCGUGUCGUGAGAUGUUGGGUUAAGUCCCCGCAACGAGCGCAACCCUCGCCUUUAGUUGCCAUCAUUCAGUUGGGCACUCUAAAGGAACCGCCGGUGAUAAGCCGGAGGAAGGUGGGGAUGACGUCAAGUCCUCAUGGCCCUUAC
rnacentral:rRNA from 1 species